GGUGAACGCUGGCGGUGUGCCUAACACAUGCAAGUCGAGCGAACGGACGGUAAGAGUUUGCUCCUGCUGUUAGCGGCGGACGGGCGAGUGACACGUGGAUCACCUACUUCUAUUACUUGGAUGAUUUCGGGAAACCGGAUCUACUACCAGCGCAUAUAAUGUACCGGAUGGAUCAAAAGAUAUAGGCGGUUUUGGCGUCUCAUUUAGCUGGGUCCGCGCUGCAUUAGCUACUUGGUAAGGUAACGGCUUACCAAGGCAACGAUGCUUAGCCGACCUGAGAGGGUGAUCGGCCACACUGGAACUGAGACACGGUCCAGACUCCUACGGGAGGCAGCAGUGGGGAAUAUUGCGCAAAGGGCGCAAGCCUGACCCAGCAACACCGCGUGGGUGAUGAAGGUCUUCGGAUCGUAAAACUCUGUUAUUGGGGAAGAAAAUCAGUGUGAGUAACCCUGCACGUCUUGACGGUACCUAAUCAGAAAGCCACGGCUAACUACGUG
rnacentral:rRNA from 1 species